GUACACGCUGUGACUAGCAUAUCAAUAAGCGGAGGAAAAGAAACUAACAAGGAUUCCCCUAGUAACGGCGAGUGAAGCGGGAAGAGCUCAAAUUUGAAAUCUUAAAGGGUUUCCCUUUACGAAUUGUAGUUUAAAGAAGUGUUUUCUGUUGAGGUUUUGGUAAAAGUUCUUUGGAAUAGGACAUCAUAGAGGGUGAGAAUCCCGUAUUUGACCUUUACUUUCAACUUUGUGAUACACUUUCAAAGAGUCGGAUUGUUUGGGAAUGCAGUCCAAAAUGGGUGGUAAAUUUCAUCUAAAGCUAAAUAUUGGCGAGAGACCGAUAGCGAACAAGUACCGUGAGGGAAAGAUGAAAAGAACUUUGAAAAGAGAGUUAAACAGUACGUGAAAUUGUCAAAAGGGAAGCGUUUGACACCAGUGUUGUUUUUCUGAAAAUCAAUUAAAGAACUGUUUAUGCUAAGCUGUUUAGACUUUAUCAGCUAUCUGUUUAGUUUUGAGCUUUUCUUUAAUGCACUUUUCAGUUAACAAGUCAACAUCAAUUUCCUUUGCUGUAAAAAAGCUUGAGGAAGGUGGCUUGAGAUUCGUCUUAAGUGUUUAUAGCCUCUUGCCUAUGCAGUCGGAGAGAUUGAGGUCUGCAGCGUAGAUCCUUCGGGGCUAAAUGCAUUUGUGCUAAGUUAUAGCAUUUUAUAGACAACUUGUUGACUAUGAUUUGUCUUGUAGCUUACUCGCUUAUGUUAUUUUACCUACGCUUAGGAUGUUGAAGAUGUAGCACAUCAU
rnacentral:rRNA from 1 species